rnacentral:rRNA from 1 species
UGCGUAGGCGGAAUAUUAAGUCAGUGGUGAAAUCCUGCGGCUCAACCGUAGAACUGCCAUUGAUACUGAUAUUCUUGAAUGUAGUUGAGGUAGGCGGAAUGUGUAAUGUAGCGGUGAAACGCUUAGAUAUUACACAGAACACCGAUUGCGAAGGCAGCUUACUAAACUAUGAUUGACGCUGAGGCACGAAAGCGUGGGGAGCGAACAGGAUUAGAUACCCUGGUAGUCC